GUACGUGUAGCUCAGCGAGUUCCAGAGCGCGAUCCUGCCGAGAUCGAGGUCGCGGGUGCAAAUCCCGUCACGUACU
rnacentral:tRNA from 1 species